AUGGCGACCCCAACUCAGCUACUGGGGCACCGAGUGGUAACCUGGAGGCUGUGGCCGCCACUGCCGCCCCUCGCUGGCCUCAUUUCCUAGAGGAUCCACUCUCUGCUGCCUGUGGAUGAUGCGAUCAACGGGCUAAGUGAGGAGCAGAAGCAGCUUCGUCAGACCAUGGCUAAGUUCCUUCAGGAGCACCUGGCCCCCAAGGCCCAAGAGAUUGAUCGUAGCAACGAGUUCAAAAACCUGAGUUUUGGAAGCAGCUGGGGAACCUGGGAGUUCUGGGGAUCACAGUCCCUGUUCAGUAUGGCAGCUCUGGCCUGGGCUACCUGGAACGUGUGCUGGUGAUGGAGGAGAUAUCCCGAGCAUCUGGAGCAGUGGGGCUCAGCUAUGGUGCCUCCUCAAACCUAGGCAUCAACCAGCUUGUGCACAAUGGGAAUGAGGCCCAGAAGGAGAAGUAUCUCCCCAAGCUGAUCAGUGGUGAGUGCAUCAGAGCCCUGGCCAUGAGCGAGCCCAAUGCUGGCUCUGAUGUUGUUUCCAUGAAGCUCAAAGCAGAAAAGAAAGGAGAUCACUACAUUCUGAAUGGCAACAAGUUCUGCAUCACCAAUGGCCCUGAUGCUGACAUCAUUAUAGUCUAUGCCAAGAAUAAUCUUGCUGCUGUGCCAGCUUCUCCGGGCAUCACAACCUUCAUUGUGAAGAAGGGUAUGCCUGGCUUCAGCACCUCUAAGAAGCUUGACAAGCUGGGGAUGAGGGGUUCUAACACCUGUGAGCUAAUCUUUGAAGACUGCAAGGUUCCUGCUGCCAACGUCCUGGGCCAUGAGAGUAAGGGCAUUGUACGUGCUGAUGAGUGGGCUGGACCUGGAGCGGCUGGUGCUGGCUGGGGGACCCCUCGGGCUCAUGCAAGCUGUCCUGGACCAUGCCAUUCCCUACCUGCACAUGAGGGAAGCCUUUGGCCAGAAGAUUAGCCACUUCUAGUUGAUGCAGGGGAAGAUGGCCAGUAUGUACACCCGCCUCAUGGCAUGUCGGCAGUACAUCCAUAAUGUUGCCAAGGCCUGUGAUGAGGGCCACUGCACUGCCAAUGACUGUGCAGGAGUGAUUCUUUACUCAGCUGAGUGUGCCACGAAAGUAGCCCUGGAUGGCAUUCAGUGUUUUGGUGGCAAUGGCUACAUCAAUGACUUUCCCAUGGGCCGCUUUCUUCGAGAUGCCAAGCUGUAUGAGAUUGGGGCUGGGACCAGUGAAGUGAAGCAGCUGGUCAUUGGCAGAGCCUUCAACGCAGACUUUCACUAGCCCUAAGACCCAUCACCCCCUUUUCCCAGCACCUAGAGGCCUUUCUUUGCAAGUAGAGACAUGGCAGCUCUCCUGCUCUGCCUGAGGCAGACCCUGUUGCUCAGCU